GUAACAUAACAUGAUUAUAAUUGAAGAGUUUGAUCAUGGCUCAGAUUGAACGCUGGCGGUAGGCUUAACACAUGCAAGUCGUGCGAGAAAGUAUCUUCGGAUAUGAUUAGAGCGGCGGACGGGUGAGUAACGCGUAGGAAUCUACCUAGUAGAAGGGGAUAGCCCGAGGAAACUCGGAUUAAUACCGUAUACCUCCUUCGGGAGAAAGAAGGCCUCUCUUUGAAGCUUUCGCUACUAGAUGAGCCUGCGUAAGAUUAGCUUGUUGGUGAGGUAAAGGCUCACCAAGG
rnacentral:rRNA from 1 species